AUUGAACGCUGGCGGCAGGCCUAACACAUGCAAGUCGAGCGGAUGAAGGGAACUUGCUCCUGGAUUCAGCGGCGGACGGGUGAGUAAUGCCUAGGAAUCUGCCUGGUAGUGGGGGAUAACGUCCGGAAACGGGCGCUAAUACCGCAUACGUCCUGAGGGAGAAAGUGGGGGAUCUUCGGACCUCACGCUACCAGAUGAGCCUAGGUCGGAUUAGCUAGUUGGUGGGGUAAAGGCCUACCAAGGCGACGAUCCGUAACUGGUCUGAGAGGAUGAUCAGUCACACUGGAACUGAGACACGGUCCAGACUCCUACGGGAGGCAGCAGUGGGGAAUAUUGGACAAUGGGCGAAAGCCUGAUCCAGCCAUGCCGCGUGUGUGAAGAAGGUCUUCGGAUUGUAAAGCACUUUAAGUUGGGAGGAAGGGCAGUAAGUUAAUACCUUGCUGUUUUGACGUUACCAACAGAAUAAGCACCGGCUAACUUCGUG
rnacentral:rRNA from 1 species